UAAUACGUAGGGAGCAAGCGUUGUUCGGAUUUACUGGGCGUAAAGAGUGCGUAGGUGGCUAUAUAGGUCAAGGGUGAAAUCUCUACUUUCAAGGUAGAAACUGCCUUUGAUACUGUAUAGCUAGAGGACAAGAGGGGGAAAUGGAAUUCUGGGAGUAGCGGUGAAAUGCGUAGAUAUCCAGAGGAACGCCAGUAGCGGAGGCGGUUUCCUGGCUUGUUUCUGACACUGAGGCACUAAAGCUAGGGGAGCGAUCGGGAUUAGAGACCCCGGUAGUCCUAGCCCUAAACGAUGGGUACUAAGUGUGGGGGGAGCAUUACCCUCUGUGCUGAAGCUAACGCGUUAAGUACCCCGCCUGGGGAGUACGGUCGCAAGGCUG
rnacentral:rRNA from 1 species